rnacentral:tRNA from 1 species
GACCGCGUAGCUCAGUUGGCAGAGUAUUGGGCUAGUAUUCCAAAGUUGGUAGGUUCGAUUCCCACCGUGGUCA